CAAAGGAGGCAGCAAAGAGCCAGCCCUCAAAGCUGCCUUGAGAAUCAUUCAUUCAUUCAUUCAUUCAACAAGUAUUUCUCAAGAUCCCAGUGCUGGAAACUGACAACCCAUUGCUUCAGUAAACUAAACAAAGAAAGGGACAGUGUCUCCAGGCGAGGGACAAGUCUGUGCCACAGCCCUGAGAUGGGAGAGUCAGAGCCUGCUUGAGACAGAUAAGGCUAGGUCAGUAACUGUGGCUAGAGCCAGGUGAGGCAGCACAGCAGGAAUUUGGCCCAGCCCAACUGUGUUGUCCCCUGCCAGAGGAUUUAGUUUUAAUCUCAACACCAUUGGGAGAGUAUAGAAUUUGGUUUGUGCAUGGACAUAGCAUCUGCCUGUGGAACUGUAGGAUCAGCUGGGUGCUAGGUUGAGAAAAAGCCGCAAGGGUCAAGAGAGCCUGGGAAGCUAAAAACAAGGUUUUGCAGUAACAUUAACUGGAGUAGAGAGCAGAGUACAUGGAUUUAUGGUUUGGAGAGAAUGCAGAGCACUUUGUAAGUGUUUGGGUAAGGGCAAAGAGAAGCUUGUGUACUUUCUUUCAUGGAAGGUGGGGUUAUGUUUGCUACAGAGACAAUAUAUACAUGCUUUCCCCCCCUCUGAAGGGAGCAAGGAAAGCAGUUACACCUGUGAGGGACUCUGAGCUGGCUCAGUGGGUAAAGUGCUGGCCUUGCAAGGACCUGACUUCAACCCCAGCAAACAAGUAAAAGCCAGGUGUGGAUGUAUCCAUGUAUAACCCUGGUGUUGGGCACAGGAGCAGAGGUAGAAGAACCCUAGGGGAUUGGUUUAGUGAGAGACCAUGCCUCAGAAUUAAGGCAGAAGAUAAAUGAGGAAGACCUCUGAUGUGGACCUCCUGCCUCCACAAAUACACACAAGGGCUCGUACACCUACACAUGUGUGAAUUUAACACACACACACACACACACACACACACACACAAAUAAAUAAAUAUUCAAAAGGAAUAAAUUAUUAUAAGUCUGUGUCAGAGGAAGUCUCCAGAGAGCCAUGACAGCAGUUUCUAUGUCUGUCUUCUAUUGGGUAAGAACCAUCAUCGAUGAUCUUGGAGAAACAUACAAAAGAAAUGCUGUCCCCAUGCAGAGGGCGAAGGCAGUACUGGUAGGUGUACAGUUCUGGAAGGCUCCAUGGACUUGACAAAGUGCUCUCCUAGAUCAAGAAGGACAAGCAGAAUCUUAAGAGAGCUGACUGGACAGGUGGGAAGAGUGUGCUCCAACAGAGGCUGCAGAGGAGAGCAUUGUUCUGGAGAAACACUGAGCUUGAGGACACAGCAGCCCUCUGAUCAAAGACUCUCAAGAAGACCGAACUGAACUGAGCUGAAGGCAUGACCUUCCCAUGUCUAAGAGAAAGCAAAAAUAGUUGAAUCCAGACCUUCCCCAUCUGGACAAGCAGAGUCCAGAGCAGGUCUAGCCCAACCCUCAGUGAACACUGUAGAGGGAGACAUGAAGCAGAGGAAGACUCGGUGAGAGCCAGAAAUGUGAUGAAAUACCAACAGAUAAGCUCAGCAAAGCACCUUCACAGUCUUGAUUUCUUAUAAAUAACAAGUGCUCCGUGUGGUGUUGGCCAGGCUAAGCCUCCCUGUGCAUGAAUUCUUUUCAUUCAUUUCUUCAUCUGUUGUGGAAAGAGAUUUGAGUUGCCCAUUUCCCCAAUGAGUUGAGCUCUGUGGUGAAUGAAUCAUUUGUCUAAGUCUCUGACUAGAAAUGACAGUGACAGAAGCAUCCAGGGUUGUCUGACUCCAAAGCCCACCUGAGGUGGGUCUGUCUUCAGUGAUGGGAAGCAGAGCAACCCUGGAAAUGUAUGCUACAGGAUCAUUAGCAUGAUUUAAUAAGCCGUUCCCUUGAGCCAGGAUUGCCAACAGCUCCAUCUGACAUGGCCAUAUGGGUCACCACACUAGGGGAAGAGGCUAACUAUCUCCAGUCUUUGUGGGAAACCCUGUCCUGGCCAGGAAGGGGAAGUUUUAAGUGAUGUAUUAAAAACAGG
ensembl:lncRNA LOC102551656 uncharacterized LOC102551656